rnacentral:rRNA from 1 species
UACGUAGGGGGCUAGCGUUGUCCGGAAUCAUUGGGCGUAAAGCGCGUGUAGGCGGUCCGGUAAGUCCGCUGUGAAAGUCGGGGGCUCAACCCUCGGAUGCCGGUGGAUACUGUCGGGCUUGAGUACGGAAGAGGCGAGUGGAAUUCCUGGUGUAGCGGUGAAAUGCGCAGAUAUCAGGAGGAACACCGGUGGCGAAGGCGGUUCUCUGGACAGUUCCUGACACUGAGACACGAAGGCCAGGGGAGCAAACGGG